AAAGCCUUAGUAAAAUUAUUACAUAGCCCUGUCAGAGCUAAAUUAUGGACUUUCCCCCCAUAGACUUUA
rnacentral:tRNA from 1 species